AGAUACUCCUUCACGUUGUCUUUGAUGUAAGAGAACAAGGUCUCCUGGUAGAAAAAGAGGCUGCUCCUUUAACCUGGCAGAGAAUGAAAAUUGCUUCAAGAAUUACCACAAACUUGCCUAGGGAAAUCAAAAGCCUUGUAAUGCCCCCAGUUACUCUCAUGUCCUCUACUUUCAAACUAUCUUUUAAAUCAUGGAGGAAAUUAAAGAGAAUCUACUGGGA